rnacentral:lncRNA from 1 species
AAAAACACUUCCAUAUAAGCUUAAACAAUUAUAACAAACCAACAACUCCAUCAAUUCUUCAAGUGACACACAUAUAAUCAUCAAUCAUCAAAUUCAAUAUGAAUUCCCCCAACACUUGUAACAAUUCUAUUUGAGGAUCCCAUAAUCAUAUUCGAAUAAAACACCUUAACUAAAUUUUCAUAGUAUUGCUCCUUAAUAACUAAAACAUUUUUCUAGCCCAUAGCAAUGAGAAAAUAACUAAGAGAUUUGUCACAAAUUUCUAAAUUCUUCAAAUUACGAAGAUUAACAAAAUAGGGAGCGAUAACCGAC